rnacentral:rRNA from 1 species
UGCCAGCAGCCGCGGUAAUACGUAGGGUGCAAGCGUUAAUCGGAAUUACUGGGCGUAAAGCGUGCGCAGGCAGUUUUAUAAGUCAGAUGUGAAAUCCCCGAGCUCAACUUGGGAACUGCGUUUGAAACUGUAAGACUAGAGUGUGUCAGAGGGGGGUAGAAUUCCAAGUGUAGCAGUGAAAUGCGUAGAGAUUUGGAGGAACACCAAACGCGAAGGCAUUCUACUGGGCAUUACCUAACGCUAAGGGACGAAAGUGUGGGGAGCAAACGGGAUUAGAUA